UCAUUCAUUAUCAUAUUCUCUCAUCUCUCUCUCAUAUUUUCUUUUCUCUUUUUGUUACAUUGUUUCAUAUAGAACUUUCAUUCAAUCUUCUUCAUUUCCUCAUAUUUCAUCAUGGCCAUUGAAUCUGAGAUCCUUUUGGAACCACCUUCUUCUGUUGAUGAAAAGAGCUUAAACAAUGCUCUUGACUUCAUUGAAGAAAUGACAAAAAACACUGACUCAAAUCAAGAGAGAGUUCUCGCUGAGAUUCUUGCACAAAACGCAGAAACUGAGUAUUUGAAUCGAUUUGGACUUAACGGUGCUACUGACCGUGAAACUUUCAAGUCCAAAGUUGCCGUUAUCACAUAUGAAGAUCUGAUUCCUGAUAUUCAACGCAUUGCUAAGGGUGACACUUCUCCUAUCUUAUGUGCUCAUCCAAUCUCAGAAUUUCUGACCAGUUCAGGAACUUCUGCUGGUGAAAGGAAAUUGAUGCCUACUAUUCAUCAAGAAAUGGACCGUCGUCUUUUAUUGUGUAGCCUAAUCACGCCAGUGAUGAACCAGUAUGUGCCUAAUUUGGACAAGGGUAAGGCACUUCACUUCCUUUUCAUCAAAGCAGAAACAAAAACUCCAAGUGGAUUAGUGGCACGUCCAGUUAUCAAAGCAGAAACAAUUCAUGAAAAGACCAUUUGACCCUUACAAUGUUCUAACAAGCCCAAAUGAAGCCAUCUCAUGUUUAGAUUCAUUCCAAAGCAUGUACACUCAGAUGCUAUGUGGCCUUAUCAUGCGCCAUGAAGUUCUAAGAGUUGGAGCUAUUUUUGCUUCUGGGCUUUUAAGAGCCAUAAAAUUCCUUCAACUUAAUUGGGCCCAAUUAGCUCAUGACAUCUCCACUGGAACCCUAAACCCUAAAAUCACAGACCCUUCAAUCAAAGAAUGCAUGUCCAAAAUAUUGAAACCUGACCCUGAACAAGCAAAUUUCAUAACAAAAGAAUGUUCUGGAGAAAAUUGGGAACGUAUAAUCCCAAGAAUUUGGCCUAACACAAAGUACCUUGAGGUUAUUGUCACUGGUGCUAUGGCUCAGUACAUUCCUACCCUUGAUUAUUAUAGUGGUAACCUACCAAAACCAUGUACAAUAUAUGCUUCAUCUGAAUGCUAUUUUGGACUUAACCUUAAGCCUAUGACAGAACCUAAUGAAGUUUCUUACACCAUUAUGCCAAACAUGGGUUACUUUGAAUUUUUACCACUUGACGAGUCACCUCCAAAACUAGUAGACCUUGUUGAUGUGGAAAUUGGUAAAUUUUACGAAUUUAUUAUAACUACUUAUUCUGGUCUUUGUCGUUACAAAGUUGGUGAUAUUCUUCAAGUAACAGGAUUCCAUAACUCAAAUCCACAAUUCAAGUUUGUAAGGCGAAAGAACGUGCUGUUGAGUAUCGAUUCGGAUAAAACAGACGAAUCGGAGCUUCAAAAAGCUAUUGAAAAUGCGUCUGCAUUGUUAAAGGAGUUCAAAACAAGUGUUGUUGAAUACACUAGUUUUGCUGAAACAAAAUCAAUUCCUGGACAUUAUGUUAUUUAUUGGGAGCUUUUGAUGAAGGAUUCCUCUUGUCCUCCAACUGAUGAAGUGUUGAAUCAAUGUUGUUUGGUUAUGGAAGAGUCUUUGAAUUCUGUUUAUAGACAAGGAAGAGUUGCUGAUAAUUCAAUUGGGCCAUUAGAGAUUCGUGUGGUGAAAAAUGGCACAUUCGAGGAUUUGAUGGAUUAUUAUAUAUCGUGUGGUGCAUCGAUUAAUCAAUAUAAAGUUCCUAGGUGCGUGAGUCUCACACCUGUAGUGGAACUUCUUGACUCUAAGGUAGUUUCCUUUCAUUUUAGCCCGGCUGCACCUUAUUGGACUUCAGAACGUACAACGUCGUUGAGGGAUGAGUAAUCUGUAUUAACAUGCAAUCAUGCAUUGUCAAUCUUAUGGUGAAAAACUAAUUUUCAAGUUCUGUUUAGCUUAGAUUUCUAUGUUUAUUUAGCUUUGAUUUUUAUGCUAUGUAACAUUAUUGGAGUUGUAAUAUCAUGUGGUAUCAAUCUUGUGUUUAA